rnacentral:rRNA from 1 species
AUACAGAGGGUGCGAGCGUUAAUCGGAAUUACUGGGCGUAAAGCGCGCGUAGGCGGUCUAUUAAGUCAGAUGUGAGAUCCCAGGGCUCAACCUUGGAACUACAUCUGAUACUGGUAGACUAGAGUUUUGGAGAGGGAAGUAGAAUUUCAGGUGUAGCGGUGAAAUGCAUAGAGAUCUGAAGGAAUACCAGUGGCGAAGGCGACUUCCUGGCCAAAAACUGACGCUGAGGUGCGAAAGCGUGGGUAGCAAACGGGAUUAGAAACCCGAGUAGUCC